UAGACGUGCUACAGUGAUU
rnacentral:siRNA from 1 species